GCGAAAUUGAAAAAUUCAUUUCACUUGUUUCUACAUGUUAGUUUUUAGGCAAUUUUGCAAGCAUACAAGUACAUGAACGAGCACAUAUAGCAUUUUUAGCGUAUAUAAAUGAAUGAUGACUGCGAGACUAAAUUGCCUUCUGGAUAGAUCAACGGAACGGACUGUACAGCGUCUUAUAUAUGAAUAACUCCUUCAA